rnacentral:rRNA from 1 species
AAAAACAUGGCCUUUUGUGUAUAAAUAUAAGGUCUGACCUGCCCAAUGAUUUAUUUAAUGGCCGCGGUAUAUUAACUGUGCUAAGGUAGCAUAAUCACUUGUCUUUUAAUUAAAGGCUAGAAUGAAUGGUUGGACGAGACAUAAGCUUUCUUUAAUUUAAUUAAUGAAAUUAAUUUUUUAGUUAAAAAGCUAAAAUUUAUUUGAGGGACGAGAAGACCCUAUAGAUCUUUAUAAUUUAAGGUUUUAUAUUUUAUGGUUUAUAAUUUUUUAUAAUAAAUUAAUUUAUUUAGUUGGGGUGACUUUAGAAUAAAAAUAACUUCUAUUUUAAUAUUCAUUAAUUAAUGUAUUCAUGAUCCAAAAUUUUUGAUUAAAAGAAUAAGUUACCUUAGGGAUAACAGCGUAAUUUCUUC